UAUCAUCUGAUGAUAAUGAAAAGAAACCUCUCCAGGCAAGCAAAAUGAGUACUCUUCUUAGACAGAAGAGAUUGCGUAAGCCUACCAAGAGGUUCAUUGAAGAAUUUUCAGUUCCAAAGUCCAAACAUGCACUGGAAAGACAAAAAAUUUUGGCUGCUGACUCAAAGGAUAAAUGCCUGGAUAUUGGAUCCCAUAAUGAACUACAUCGUGGGAGAGGACUGACAUUGACCAAGGAAGAGUCAUUAAGUGAGAAUGUUACACAAGAAACAAUUGAAGAUGAUGAAAAACUUUCAGAUCUGAAGUCGAAGUGUGUGACUAGAAGACUAAAAAUUUCUUCACCUGGUUCAAAUGAUAAACAUUUGAAGAUUGGAUCUCAGAAUGAACUUCGUCAUGUGAAAGGGUUCAAAUCUUCUCCCAGGGAGGAGUCUUUACCAGGAACUAGUACUCAAGCAUCAUUUGAAUCUCGACCACGGAGGGGACGUCCUAAGAAACGCCCAUGUGUUUCAGCCCUUGACUCUGAUGGUGAACCUACUGCAUCGGAGUUUGAAGAUGAUCGUGCAAAGAGAUAGAAAAUCUAAGAAGAGUGCUGACAGAAGGAAGCAUCAAAGAAUGUGGACUCUUUCUGAGGUGAUGAAGUUGAUUGAUGGUGUUGCUCAAUAUGGAACUGGGAGGUGGACUGAUAUAAAGAAGCUUUUGUUUUCAUCUCUUUGCACGAUCAUCUUCAAACUCCG
rnacentral:misc_RNA from 1 species